rnacentral:rRNA from 1 species
AUUGAACGCUGGCGGCAGGCUUAACACAUGCAAGUCGAGCGGGGGAAGGUAGCUUGCUACCGGACCUAGCGGCGGACGGGUGAGUAAUGCUUAGGAAUCUGCCUAUUAGUGGGGGACAACAUCUCGAAAGGGAUGCUAAUACCGCAUACGUCCUACGGGAGAAAGCAGGGGAUCUUCAGACCUCGCGCUAAUAGAUGAGCCUAAGUCGGAUUAGCUAGUUGGUGGGGUAAAGGCCUACCAAGGCGACGAUCUGUAGCGGGUCUGAGAGGAUGAUCCGCCACACUGGGACUGAGACACGGCCCAGACUCCUACGGGAGGCAGCAGUGGGGAAUAUUGGACAAUGGGGGGAACCCUGAUCCAGCCAUGCCGCGUGUGUGAAGAAGGCCUUAUGGUUGUAAAGCACUUUAAGCGAGGAGGAGGCUACUUUAGUUAAUACCUAGAGAUAGUGGACGUUACUCGCAGAAUAAGCACCGGCUAACUCUGUGCCAGCCGCCGCAGUAA